UACUUGACUGGAAAUCUGUCGAAACACACGA
rnacentral:piRNA from 1 species